ensembl:lncRNA
GGGUUAGGGUUAGGGUCGGUUAGGGAUAGGGUUGGUUAGGGUUAGGGUCAGUUAGGGUUAGGGUCGGUUAGGGUUAGGGUUAGGGUCGGUUAGGGUUAGUGUCGGUUAGGGAUAGGGUCGGUUAGGGUUAGGGUCAGUUAGGGUUAGGGUCGGUUAGGGUUAGGGUUAGGUUAGGGUUAGGGAUAGGGUCAUUUAGGGUUGUUUAGGGUUAGGGUCGUUUAGGUUAGGGUUAGGGUCAGUUAGGGUUAGGGUCGGUUAGGGUUAGGGUUAGGGUCGGUUAGGGUUAGGGUCGGUUAGGGUUAGGAUUAGGGUCGGUUAGGGUUAGGGUCGUUUAGGGUAAGGGUUAG